rnacentral:rRNA from 1 species
GACGAACGCUGGCGGCGUGCUUAACACAUGCAAGUCGAACGGGCCUUGUCCCCUUUUUUUUGGGGGUGGGGUUAGUGGCGAACGGGUGAGUAACACGUGAGUAACCUGCCCCUCACUUCUGGAUAACCGCUUGAAAGGGUGGCUAAUACGGGGUGUUCUGGCCUGCUCGCAUGGGUGGGUUUGGAAAGAUUCGACCGGUUUUGGUUGUUUUGGUGGGGGAUGGGCUCGCGGCCUAUCAGCUUGUUGGUGGGGUGAUGGCCUGCCAAGGCUUUGACGGGUAGCCGGCCUGAGAGGGUGGGCGGUCCCAAUGGGACUGAGACACGGCCCAGACUCCUACGGGAGGCAGCAGUGGGGAAUAUUGCACAAUGGGCGCAAGCCUGAUGCAGCGACGCCGCGUGAGGGAUGGAGGCCUUCGGGUUGUGAACCUCUUUCGCCAGUGAAGAAGGUCCUGCUCUUUGUGGUGGGGUUGACGGUAGCUGGGUUAAUGAAGCGCCGGCUAACUACGUG